rnacentral:misc_RNA from 1 species
UUCAUCAAACUGAUCAGCCCCAAAUGUAGCAAUGUUAGGCUGAUAUCCUCCAUUUCCAAGAGCAAUUAGAUAAAUAGGGAGGUAAAAAAAUCCGACUUCCACGCUUGAAUGGGAUCCACAUGGAGUCAAUUCAUCACCACAUCCUUUUGGCUUGAUCAGGAAAAGGUAUGAAGACAGUGACAGUAAUACCAGGCCAAUGACAAAAAUGACCUGAAAAAUGGCACAGGUUUUGAAUCUUCCCCAGUAGGAAUCGCUGAGGAAAGCACCCACAAGAGAGAAGAUGUAGACAGUUCCAGUCCAUUUGCUAACGUUGUUAGCAGCAUCAGCAUUGUUCUGUUGCAGAACUCUUGUCAGGAACAGCACCAAAUUCACCCCUACGCCAAAGAAUGCAAGGGUUGCUAGGCCUUGGUUCAAGAGGAUGAUAAUUCCAGCAACCCACUGUCCAGAUUUCUUCUUAAUAGCUGGAUGACCGUGCCAAUCAACUGUUCCAUCAAGAGUGUACUCUUCUUGAUUCUCUUUGAACUCACCCUCCUUACACAUCUCCAAACAAGCCAUUGAUGAAGUGGGCCAAAGAAAGAAGUAUCUCUUCCCUUAAAAUGUAGAAUUGAAGACGAAGAAAAUUAGAGGAAAUAAGAUUUUGAUUUUGUGGUGGGUGAUGAAAGAUCAGUAUUCUCAAG